rnacentral:rRNA from 1 species
AGUGAACGCUGGCGGUAGGCCUAACACAUGCAAGUCGAACGGCAGCACAGAGGAGCUUGCUCCUUGGGUGGCGAGUGGCGGACGGGUGAGGAAUACAUCGGAAUCCACUCUGUCGUGGGGGAUAACGUAGGGAAACUUACGCUAAUACCGCAUACGACCUACGGGUGAAAGCAGGGGAUCUUCGGACCUUGCGCGAUUGAAUGAGCCGAUGUCGGGUUAGCUAGUUGGCGGGGUAAAGGCCCACCAAGGCGACGAUCCGUAGCUGGUCUGAGGGGAUGAUCAGCCACACUGGAACUGAGACACGGUCCAGACUCCUACGGGAGGCAGCAGUGGGGAAUAUUGGACAAUGGGCGCAAGCCUGAUCCAGCCAUACCGCGUGGGUGAAGAAGGCCUUCGGGUUGUAAAGCCCUUUUGUUGGGAAAGAAAUCCAUCUGGUUAAUACCCGGGUGGGAUGACGGUACCCAAAGAAUAAGCACCGGCUAACUUCGUGCCAGCCGCCGCGGUAA